UUGUUUUUCAUAGAGAUCUUACUUCAAAGAAUGUCCUCAUCAAAAUGAAUGAAGAUGAGAUGACUGCAGUUGUUGGUGAUUUUGGCUUAGCAGAGAAAAUACCAGAUUCAAGGGAUCGUAGUCAACAUUUACUAAUUGUUGGUUCACCUUAUUGGAUG